UGGGGGGGGCAAGGCGAUCGCCGGCGCACGACGCGCGGGAGGAAAGUCCGAACUCCGUAGGGCAGGAUGCCGGGUAACUCCCGGAGGGGGUAACCCCAAGGAAAGUGCCACAGAAAGCAGACCGCCUCCGGAUCGCCGGAGGUAAGGGUGAAAGGGUGAGGUAAGAGCUCACCGGUUCUCGUGGUAACACGGGAAGCCAGGUAAACCCCAUCCGGAGCAAGACCAAAUAGAGAAGCGCUUGAGGGCGGCCCGUCCGAUGCUUCCGGGUAGGUCGCUGGAGGCGGCGGGAGACCGUCGUCCUAGAUGAAUGAUCGCCGCCCGUCUAUCGGGAACAGAAUUCGGCUUAUCGCCCACCCCGGACU
rnacentral:RNase_P_RNA from 1 species